ACGUACACUCCUGCGGGAGGCAGCAGUGGGGAAUCUUGCGCAAUGGGCGAAAGCCUGACGCAGCCAUGCCGCGUGAAUGAUGAAGGUCUUAGGAUUGUAAAAUUCUUUCACCGGGGACGAUAAUGACGGUACCCGGAGAAGAAGCCCCGGCUAACUUCGUGCCAGCAGCCGCGGUAAUACGAAGGGGGCUAGCGUUGCUCGGAAUUACUGGGCGUAAAGGGAGCGUAGGCGGACAUUUAAGUCAGGGGUGAAAUCCCGGGGCUCAACCUCGGAAUUGCCUUUGAUACUGGGUGUCUUGAGUAUGAGAGAGGUGUGUGGAACUCCGAGUGUAGAGGUGAAAUUCGUAGAUAUUCGGAAGAACACCAGUGGCGAAGGCGACACACUGGCUCAUUACUGACGCUGAGGCUCGAAAGCGUGGGGAGCAAACAGGAUUAGAUACCCCAGUAGUCCCAUGAU
rnacentral:rRNA from 1 species